GGUCAAAGAAGAACGAUGAUAAUGGUCGAUACAAUAAUUAUCGGUAUUGAAAAAACGUUUUCAUGUUGCCGGGGUACCAAGGGUAAGCAGGGUCCCGUACAGGAUCACCGAAAGCACAAGGACAAAUAGUGGAUAAACUUAUCUUCUUUUUGUGUUACUGAUUAAAGACACCUCAUGCAGCUUCCACUUCAGAAAAAAAAAAUUACAAUGCGCUACUUCAAGUGACAGGCGAAAGGGGAAAAACUUUGGUGGGAGUCAGAGAAGGGUUCUCAUCUCUGAGGAAGAUUAAAACAAAUCUCCCUGUCACUUGUCUCUUUCAAAGACAGAGACAGAGGUACAGAGAGAGGAAAGAGAAAGGGCGGGGAAGGGAGAAAAAAAAAACCAAUUCAGAGACGGACUUCAUUAGAAACCAACACACAGGAAGGUGCAGAAGCUUAGUUAGGCAGGUCGGAGAGAGAGAGAAAGAGCUGAGGCUACGGAAAUCCUCCCCACCUUCCCAGCCAACGCUACGUUUCUAACUUGUUCUUGGAGUUUGUUUCUCUGCCCCCCAAAAUCACUGCACACUCAAGACCAAAGUGAAGAAAGUUUCGGGAUCCAGGGGACAUCUAACGCGUCUGUUGGGUGGAUGGGACGACGAAGCCAUUAAGCUGGCCGUUCUUCCAGUUCACUUUCUCCUUCAGUGUGAGUCAAAGGUGUGUGAAAGAUCUCGGGGUUUGGGUUUUGAGGUUAACAACUACGGACCUGUGGCCAGUAUCCUUUUGUAAGAGAGCGCCUAGCGUUCAAGACUGCUCUUCUCCGGACAGCCCCAGUUCUGGCAAGAGACACGGGGAAAACAAUAUACAAAUCGCCUACCACCUACCCGGGAAAUACAUUCAUAGGGCUGUCAAAAGAGAGUCCAAAUAAAAUAUGGAGAGAGAAACCCAGGAACCUGCCCAAAAGAGUUUUAUGUUCCAAGACUUUCUAUCCACAGUACGGAUGGUGUAUUCCAUGUGUUUACAUGCGUGUAUUCAGAAUAUCUUCCUUUGACCCAUUGUCUGAUGGGUGACAGAAUCGAACCUGCAUACGUAAUAUGCUAAGUGGUAUAUCAUCGUGCUCUUUAUUAUAAUGUAUUUCACGACUGCUUGGCCAAAUGAUAUUAAUGAGGAAAAUCAAUUGCCCACAAACAGCAUUUCUAUACAGCUUCCCAAUUCAUCAAAUGCCAUUCACAUGAAAAUAAAUUAAUUCCAGUAAAAGACCAAAAUUCUAAAUCCUAGAACUUCUGCACUUGUAAAGUCUGCAGAAGAGCACUUACCCGGAGCUCUGUAACAGUCAUGGAGAAAUAAACUUUUUUUCCAUUUUUUUCCUCAUAGUAAAAUACAACGAGAGACGUUUUGAAAACUGAAGAGUAAUUAUUAAAAUGAACAGAAUAGAAAUGGCAUUUAAGAAGAGACCUGAAAAAAUAGCGUUUGGGCUUUUUCAAAAGAGACAGUGAGGGUGUAAAUGGGCGUCCAAACGUAUCUUAAUAAAAAUGAAGGCGCUGAUCAUCUAGCAUGUGCA